rnacentral:lncRNA from 1 species
AAAAUUUCAGAAUGUUCAUCAAUCAUCAAUCAAUCUCAUCAAUCACAAAAAAAACUUCUAUUUCCAUACCACAUCUCCCCCACACUUACUCCUCACAUUGUCCUCAAUGUGGAAAAAAUUCAAUCAAAUGGGGAAGUCCACAAAAUAAAAUAAAAGUAAGUUAAAAAAAAACUUCCCUGAGGAGUAAGUCCAUAGAACUCAAGCUGGUGGUGGGUUGCAUCUGGCAAGGAAGUGGAUGGC